rnacentral:ncRNA from 1 species
GGUCGGGCUGUUCGCCCGUUAAAGAGGUACGUGAGCUGGGUUCAGAACGUCGUGAGACAGUUCGGUUUAUAUCCGCUGUGGACGUAAGGAAAUUUGAGAGGGGUCGAUCCUAGUACGAGAGGACCGGAUUGAACGCACCUCUGGUGUAUCGGUUGUCAUACCAAGGGCAUUGCCGAGUAGCUAUAGUGCGGCAUAGAUAAGCGCUGAAAGCAUAUUAAGCGCGAAACUAGCCUCAAGAUUAGAUUUCCCGCUGUGUCUCACUUUGUUCGACACGACAAUUUUCAUUGACCAUUUUUCAGUUUUCAUUAAAUUUUCAUUUACCAAUUUUCAAUGCAGCCCAGAGCUACAUCUGAUCAAUGUAAAAUGAUAAAUAAUUGAGAAUUGAGAAUUGUAAAAUGUGAAUUGCUGUGGCGAGUGGAGCGAGACACAGCAGAGCCCCCAGAAAGACUAUCUGGUUGAUAGGCGCAAGGUGUAAGUGCGGCAACGCAUUCAGCCGAAGCGUACUAAUAGGGCCAUCGACUUUUUGUG